GGUCCCCCUGCCGAGAGAGCACACAGUGACCUGCUCGCUGUGCAGCCCACACCCAAGAGAACCUGGAUCUGGUGGCCUGAGGACCAGCUGGCAGCCCGAGUGGUCUCAACUCUGCCACAGUGGCCUCCAGGACAACCGGUCGGAACAGGACCCGGAGAGCCAAUGCUGCCUCCCACAGACUGCCACUUACCAGCGGACAGAACUCCAUAACCAGCAGGUAGGGGGUCACCUCAGCACACUGGGCCAGGCACUGAAGCAGGUUGCUGUGCUGCAGAGUCCUGGAAGAGCCCCGGGCAUCUGAGUUGGAGGGCAGCAUGGGGCAGCCAGGCCCCAGCACAGUACCCGCCUCCCCACAGCCGCCCAGUUCUCCCGCCCCCACACCCACCUGUAGGGCUGCGCCUCCUCCAAGAACUGCAUCUGCUCCUGCACGCUGGCGCUGGCCUUCAGCUCCUUCACCACCACCUGUGUGCCACUGACGCCCGAGUGUACCUCCCCC